GCACCCGUAGCUCAGCUGGAUAGAGCGCCGCCCUCCGAAGGCGGAGGCCACACGUUCGAAUCGUGUCGGCACACGUUCGAAUCGUGUCGGGUGCGCCA
rnacentral:tRNA from 1 species